rnacentral:rRNA from 1 species
GAUGAACGCUGGCGGCGUGCUUAACACAUGCAAGUCGAACGGGAAACCUAUUAUUGAAACUUCGGUCGAUUUAAUUUGUUUCUAGUGGCGGACGGGUGAGUAACGCGUGGGUAACCUGCCCUAUACAGGGGGAUAACAACCAGAAAUGGUUGCUAAUACCGCAUAAGCGCACAGGACCGCAUGGUCCAGUGUGAAAAACUCCGGUGGUAUAGGAUGGACCCGCGUUGGAUUAGCUUGUUGGUGGGGUGACGGCCCACCAAGGCGACGAUCCAUAGCCGGCCUGAGAGGGUGAACGGCCACAUUGGGACUGAGACACGGCCCAGACUCCUACGGGAGGCAGCAGUGGGGAAUAUUGCACAAUGGGGGAAACCCUGAUGCAGCGACGCCGCGUGAAGGAAGAAGUAUCUCGGUAUGUAAACUUCUAUCAGCAGGGAAGAUAGUGACG